GUACAAACUAAAAGCUUUCUAAGCGCCCCGAUCACUACUCGUCGGGUACGACUUCUUUGCCUUUUCCGGAAGGCUCUCCUCCUAGACACAUUACAAAAAUUUACACAAUUCAUCACAUUGAUGCUAAAUCACUAUAUAAUUAACUUAAAUCCUAUACUAAUGCAUGGUAUGAAAUGCAAUAGCCUAAAACGGCUUAAACGCGGUAUUAACCUAUUUUUGGCACUUUGCCCGAUAAAUUGCUAACGCGCUCCAUUUUAGCUCUAAAUCAUCCCAUUCUCUCUCCAACAUUUCUAACCAUUAAAUAUCAGCCAAUAACCUUCUAAAAACAACAAAAUCAGCUCACUCCCUUCCUUGGAAAAUUCGGCCAAAAAUGGGACAUUAACUCGGUUAAUUUUCUACUUUGUUUUUCUAUCACGUUUAAUCGUUUUUCAUCAUUUUCUCUUCAUUUCCCUUAGAAUAAAAUCAAUUCAUCAUCAUUGUACAGCAUUGAGCAUCCAGCCAAGAGUGGGUAUUGUGAAAAUUUAAUGAUUUCUUGCCCAAUUUAAUUUCUAAACACAUUUAACUAACUAAAACUAUCAAUUUAACUAAAAAUCAAAACCUAAAAAUUUCAAUUUCUCUCCCCUAGAAUUUCGUCCAGCCCUUGAUAUCACUUUUUGAUCUCUCUCCUCAAGCAUGCUAAAUGGAAAUAAAGGCAUAGGAAAGGUAGAAAUCAAGCUAAAAUCGAAAAAUCUUACCGUUAGACGCGUAAACGGUCGAAAAUCGCGAAUUUCCCUUUGAAUUUUCUUGUUUCUCUUUGGUUUUUCUUUUUUUCUUCCUUUCCUCUCUAUUUCCUCUCUUGUUCUUCCUUAUGGCCG
rnacentral:lncRNA from 1 species